rnacentral:rRNA from 1 species
AGUGGCGAACGGGUGAGGAAUACAUCGGAACGUGUCUUCAAGUGGGGGAUAACGCAUCGAAAGGUGUGCUAAUACCGCAUAAUCUCUGAGGAGAAAAGCAGGGGAUCGCAAGACCUUGCGCUUUUGGAGCGGCCGAUGUCUGAUUAGCUUGUUGGUGAGGUAAAAGCUUACCAAGGCUUCGAUCAGUAGCUGGUCUGAGAGGACGACCAGCCACACUGGGACUGAGACGCGGCCCAGACUCCUACGGGAGGCAGCAGUGGGGAAUUUUGGACAAUGGGGGCAACCCUGAUCCAGCCAUGCCGCGUGAGUGAAGAAGGCCUUCGGGUUGUAAAGCUCUUUCAGCCGGAACGAAACGGUUACGGUUAAUACCCGUGACUACUGACGGUACCGGAAGAAUAAGCACCGGCUAACUACGUGCCAGCAGCCGCGGUAAUACGUAGGGUGCGAGCGUUAAUCGGAAUUACUGGGCGUAAAGCGUGCGCAGGCGG